rnacentral:rRNA from 1 species
GACGAACGCUGGCGGCGUGCUUAACACAUGCAAGUCGAACGGAAAGGCCCUGCUUGUGUGGGGGGCUCGAGUGGCGAACGGGUGAGUAACACGUGAGUAACCUGCCCUUGAGUUUGGGAUAACUUCAGGAAACUGGUGCUAAUACCGGAUAGGAGCUGCUGCUGCAUGGGGGGGGUUGGAAAGUUUCGGCGGUUGGGGAUGGACUCGCGGCUUAUCAGCUUGUGGGUGGGGUAGUGGCUUACCAAGGCUUUGACGGGUAGCCGGCCUGAGAGGGUGACCGGCCACAUUGGGACUGAGAUACGGCCCAGACUCCUACGGGAGGCAGCAGUGGGGAAUAUUGCACAAUGGGCGGAAGCCUGAUGCAGCAACGCCGCGUGCGGGAUGACGGCCUUCGGGUUGUAAACCGCUUUCGCCUGUGACGAAGCGUGAGUGACGGUAAUGGGUAAAGAAGCACCGGCUAACUACGUG